rnacentral:ncRNA from 2 species
UACCUUCUCCGCGCCGAAGGUUUCAUCGCUUCAUCCAGAUGUAGCGAUGAAUUAAAAGGGAAGUCCGGUGCGUCCUGCCCUGCAGGACAAUUCCGGCGCUGCCCCGCAGCGGUAAUUGGAAACGAACCCCGCCAUCGCACUGGCCCACCGGCCGGGAAGCGGCGGACAGUAGGCACGCGGCCUUCGCCGCCCGUCCAUGAGCCCGAAGACCUGCCCCGGCCGGAAGACGCGU